GCCCACUCUGUCACAACUGAAGUCGAAACCGCGGAGGCUGUGGCUAGCGCAAGAGAGAGGGUGCCAGCUCAUGCGGACAUUACGCUAACCGAGUCCCAAGACAGCAUGCAGGAACUCAGUCCUGACGAGAACUCAGCAUGCCCCGGUGAUAGCCAACAAUGCGAGGCAGGCGGAAGUACAGCGCAAGAAAGUAUUAC